CGUCCCCGCACCCUUCUUUCUUCUCCCCGACGCCGCGCACCUUCUCCUUCGGUGCCCUAACCGCCGGCCACGGCGGUUCCUCCCCUUUAUCUUCUCCUCUUCUCGGUGAAAGCCGAUCGCCACCUCAGCCGACGACCACAAACGCCGGUGCCUUAGCUUUUGCCCCGACGCCAGCGACGCCGGCCUUCUCCUUCCCGACGCUAUCUCCCCCUGCCCUAACUGCUCGAGGCAGUUCUUCUCUUCUCCUCUCCUCUGCCGCCACCACAGAGCCGACGCCGACCAUAGAGCCGACGCCGACCACAGAGGCCGAAGCUUUCCUCAGCCCUAGCAGUUGAGCCUUUGCCGAUCUCCUUUGUGUCGGCCUCCUCCACUGUGCUGUGCCCUAGAUCGCUGGAAUUCAGAGCCACCUCCUACAGUGAAGUCUCGGCAGAGGAAGCAACAGGCAGUCAUCUUCUAGUGGCGGACAACCCAAUUCAGCCACAAGUCUUGAUCUAGCAGCAACAAGCAGCAAAACAACCCUUCUUCGGUAGGAACUAUCUGGCUGUGAGUUUGAGGACUGUGACGCGAGACGAGUAUCUCGGAGUCGGACUGGACCUUUCUAUUUUAUUGGAGG